GGUUGAAAAUGAAAAGAGAAAUCUUAAAAAAGAAAACGAAAGGGUGGAAACGGUAGAAACUGCCGGAACAAAAAACGCAGCUCAUCCGAUGGAAUUUUCACAAUAUCAUCUGCAAAAUUCAGAAAUCGGUUUCCCAUCUUCGAGUGGAUUUAGUUCGAAAAAAAAUCCCGAUCUCGACGUAUUCACUGAUGUUCGUCAGUCCAAAUAGCGGAGACUGCGGUAAUAUGACGAAACUGCAGUAUCGGAGAGAUUAUAUCGUGGCGCCGGUCCAUAUCCCAAAUUUAUGGAAAGUUUGGUACAAGAAAUGGAAAAUUCACCGUAACAAAAAAAACCCGUCGGACGACUUCCGGACCGAGCAAAUUCUCAUAAUAUCUCGGACGCCUCCGCCGAUGUCGAGUGGAAAUAUUUUGACGGGAGGAAAAACGGUGAUAACGAUUCGCGGUAACGCCAUCUUAAGACGGUACUUUUACGACUGUGGAGCCGACGACAUAACGCCGCAAAAUUCUGAAG
rnacentral:lncRNA from 1 species